rnacentral:pre_miRNA from 1 species
AUGUAGAGCAAUUUCUGUCUAAGUAGGGGUAAAUUACUCUUUAAAAAGGAAAAAAAAAUUCUAGAUAGUUUUCCCUUCAAGUAAAAGCGUCUUGU